CCUACGGGAGGCAGCAGUAAGGAAUAUUGGUCAAUGGGCGCAAGCCUGAACCAGCCAUGCCGCGUGCAGGAAGACGGCCCUAUGGGUUGUAAACUGCUUUUGAACAAGAGAAAACCUCGGUACGUGUACCGAGCUGAUAGUAUUGUUAGAAUAAGCAUCGGCUAACUUCGUGCCAGCAGCCGCGGUAAGACGAAGGAUGCAAGCGUUAUCCGGAUUCAUUGGGUUUAAAGGGUGCGUAGGCGGCCUGAUAAGUCAGUGGUGAAAUCUCUCAGCUUAACUGAGAAACUGCCAUUGAUACUGUCGGGCUUGAGUACAGAUGAUGUGGGCGGAAUAUGACAUGUAGUGGUGAAAUACUUAGAUAUGUCAUAGAACACCGAUUGCGAAGGCAGCUCACAAAACUGUAACUGACGCUGAGGCACGAAAGUGCGGGGAUCAAACAGGAUUAGAUACCCUGGUAGUCCGCACCGUAAACGAUGAUUACUCGUUGUUGGCAAUAUGACCGUCAGCGACCAAGCGAAAGCGAUAAGAAUCCACCUGGGGAGUACGCCGGCGAACCGGUGAAACUCAAAGGAAUUGACGGCUUGAGACGNGCGACGGACGACGACGAGGGAGGAGG
rnacentral:rRNA from 1 species